rnacentral:rRNA from 1 species
AGGGUUUGAUCAUGGCUCAGAACGUACGCUGGCGGCACGCCUAAUACAUGCAAGUCGAACGAAGUAGCAAUACUUAGUGGCAGACGGGUGAGUAACAUGUAGGUAUCUUCCCUUUGGUGAGGAAUAACACGAGGAAACUUGUGCUAAUACCUCAUAAGUCUUUACGGAGAAAGCUUUAUGCGCCAAUGGAUGAGCCUGCACUUGAUUAGUUUGUUGGUGAGGUAAUGGCUCACCAAGACAAUGAUCAAUAGCUGAUUUGAGAGGAUGAUCAGCCACAUUGGGACUGAGACACGGCCCAAACUCCUACGGGAGGCAGCAGUAGGGAAUCUUGCACAAUGGGGGAAACCCUGAUGCAGCGAUGCCGCGUGAGUGAAGAAGGCCUUUGGGUUGUAAAGCUCUUUCGUCGGGGAAGAAAAUGACUGUACCCGAAUAAGAAGGUCCGGCUAACUUCGUGCCAGCAGCCGCGGUAAUACGAAGGGACCUAGCGUAGUUCGGAAUUACUGGGCUUAAAGAGUUCGUAGGUGGUUAAAAAAGUUGGUGGUGAAAUCCCAGAGCUUAACUCUGGAACUGCCAUCAAAACUUUUUAGCUAGAGUAUGAUAGAGGAAAGCAGAAUUUCUAGUGUAGAGGUGAAAUUCGUAGAUAUUAGAAAGAAUACCAAUUGCGAAGGCAGCUUUCUGGAUCAUUACUGACACUGAGGAACGAAAGCAUGGGUAGCGAAGAGGAUUAGAUACCCUCGUAGUCCAUGCCGUAAACGAUGUGUGUUAGACGUUGGAAAUUUAUUUUCUGUGUCGCAGCGAAAGCAAUAAACACACCGCCUGGGGAGUACGACCGCAAGGUUAAAACUCAAAUGAAUUGACGGGGACCCGCACAAGUAGUGGAGCAUGUGGUUUAAUUCGAAGAUACGCGCAGAACCUUACCAACACUUGACAUGUUCGUCGCGACUUUAAGAGAUUAAAGUUUUCGGUUCGGCCGGACGAAACACAGGUGCUGCAUGGCUGUCGUCAGCUCGUGUCGUGAGAUGUUGGGUUAAGUCCCGCAACGAGCGCAACCCUCACUUUUAGUUGCCAUCAUUUAGUUGGGCACUCUGAAAGAACUGCCAGUGAUAAGCUGGAGGAAGGUGGGGAUGACGUCAAGUCCUCAUGGCCCUUACGUGUUGGGCUACACACGUGCUACAAUGGCAUUUACAAUAGGAAGCAAGACGGCGACGUUAAGCAAAUCCUAAAAAAAUGCCUCAGUUCGGAUUGUACUCUGCAACUCGAGUACAUGAAGCUGGAAUUACUAGUAAUCGCGGAUCAGCGCGCCGCGGUGAAUACGUUCCCGGGUCUUGUACACACCGCCCGUCACACCAUGGGAGUUGGUUCUACCUUAAGGCAAAGCCUAAAAACUUUGACCACGGUAUAGUCAGCGACUGGGGUGAAGUCGUAACAAGGUAACCGUA